CACGGUGUGGACAUGCGGGCUUUCCCAACGCCGGCACACCGCCCCGCAUAGUGGCGUGGGCAUGGCGUGGAGGGGGUGGCGUCCAAUCCUCCAUCGGCGUCAUUUUGGGCAAAGCCUCUAAUCUGCUGAUGCCGUCGCGCCACGUAUCGCUUCAUGCCCUCCACAUCAAGUAGUCAAAGAAAGAAGCAAAUCAGAAUCCUGCUUCCGGCACCAUCCACACGGACAACGCCAGACCAGCACUCGCCACCGCGCCGGUGCUCGAGAAAUACCUUUGAAACUAACAAAUCCUAAUCGACGCUCUCUCCAUGACUCUGCCUCUGGAGAGUACCGUAACCAAUAUCUUCAUUUACCCUUCUCUCUGCUGGGCCACGAAUUCUGGACAGGGGGUUGUGUCUAGAGCAUUAAAUGAGGAAGAAUGGUGAUAACCCUUUGACCUAGUCUACCUUUCUUGGGCUGGAUGAAGGGAAAACAUUGCUAUGGGCUUGGGGACAACAAGUCCGGACGAGGGAGCCCACUUGGUGACCCUCGUUGUCACCAAUGGUGAUCAGUACAAAGCUUAGUAGGACUAGAAGAGGUGAUCGUUGUCUUGAUAUGUAGACGUUGUAACAAUGAUCUCUACCGAAUUAGAGGUACAAUUUUAAUGAAAACAAACUUUCGAUUGAA